GAAAUUUCAAGUCUCUGCAAGCCCUAGAAGCCGAUCUCGGCUGUAAGUCCAAGAAAUCCAAGUGGGCAGAAUCGAUUGGAUCAACUUGUUGCCUUACAGAUUUCGGGUUUGUUUCAUGCUACAGCAAAUUCCAUGAGUAGGUGGCUGCAAAACCCUAGUCUCGGUUGUAAUUAGAUCAACCUUUUUAGAGAGCUUUUCAGUUAUUAAGUUGAUAGAGAUUGUAUUAGUUGUUUCCUUUGUCUAUGUUGAUUAAUUGAGUCUAUUCCGCAUUGUUAGUUGAGUUA